GAUGAACGCUGGCGGCGUGCCUAAUACAUGCAAGUCGAGCGAACAGACGAGGAGCUUGCUCCUCUGACGUUAGCGGCGGACGGGUGAGUAAUACGUGGAUAACCUACCUAUAAGACUGGGAUAACUUCGGGAAACCGGAGCUAAUACCGGAUAACAUGUUGAACCGCAUGGUUCAACAGUGAAAGACGGUCUUGCUGUCACUUAUAGAUGGAUCCGCGCCGCAUUAGCUAGUUGGUAAGGUAACGGCUUACCAAGGCAACGAUGCGUAGCCGACCUGAGAGGGUGAUCGGCCACACUGGAACUGAGACACGGUCCAGACUCCUACGGGAGGCAGCAGUAGGGAAUCUUCCGCAAUGGGCGAAAGCCUGACGGAGCAACGCCGCGUGAGUGAUGAAGGUCUUCGGAUCGUAAAACUCUGUUAUUAGGGAAGAACAAAUGUGUAAGUAACUAUGCACGUCUUGACGGUACCUAAUCAGAAAGCCACGGCUAACUACGUG
rnacentral:rRNA from 1 species